rnacentral:rRNA from 1 species
UACGUAGGUGACAAGCGUUGUCCGGAUUUACUGGGCGUAAAGAGCGCGCAGGCGGUCGAUCAAGUCGAGUGUGAAAGCCCCCGGCUCAACUGGGGAGGGUCAUUCGAUACUGAUCGACUCGAAGGCAGGAGAGGGUAGUGGAAUUCCCGGUGUAGUGGUGAAAUGCGUAGAUAUCCGGAGGAACACCGGUGGCGAAGGCGGCUUCCUGGACCGACACUGACGCUGAGGCGCGAAAGCUAGGGGAGCAAACGGG